rnacentral:lncRNA from 1 species
CGCCGGUGCGCCGUGCCAUGCUAGGAGAAACCUGACGCUGACCGCGUGCUGGGUCUGUGGCUGUGUGUGUUGGGGUGUGGUGUGGCAGGAGGAGUUCCUGACCAAGGCGACGCCGGACAAGAACCUCAUCAGGCUGCUCACUUGCAUGGGGGAAGCCAUGAGGACGAUCGCCUUCAAGGUCCGGACGGCGUCCUGCGGCGGCACGGCCUGCGUCAACUCCUUCGGCGACGAGCAGCUCGCCGUCGACAUGCUCGCCAACAAGCUCCUCUUCGAUGUGUGAAACGAGUGAUCUCGCGCUGCAUAUGUCUGUCUCGCACCGAAAAAUUCGCUCAUGCCCGUUCUCUCUGCCUGCAG